rnacentral:rRNA from 1 species
UAGGGAAUAUUGCAAAAUGGGCGAAAGCCCGAUGCAGCAACGCCGCGUGGGCGAUGAAGGCCUUCGGGUCGUAAAGCCCUUUUUGAGGGGAUGAGGAUGGACAGUACCCUCAGAAUAAGCCUCGGCUAACUACGUGCCAGCAGCCGCGGUAAAACGUAGGAGGCGAGCGUUAUCCGGAUUUACUGGGCGUAAAGCGCGUGCAGGCGGAUUGGAGAGUUGGAUGUGAAAGCUCCCGGCUUAACUGGGAGAGGUCGUUCAAUACUUCCAGUCUUGAGUGCAGUAGAGGGAAGUGGAAUUCCGGGUGUAGCGGUGAAAUGCGUAGAUAUCCGGAGGAACACCAGUGGCGAAAGCGGCUUCCAGGACUGUAACUGACGCUCAGACGCGAAAGCUAGGGUAGCAAACG